rnacentral:rRNA from 1 species
GACGAACGCUGGCGGCGUGCUUAACACAUGCAAGUCGUACGGUAAGGCCCUUUCGGGGGUACACGAGUGGCGAACGGGGGAGUAACACGUGAGUAACCUGCCCACCACUUUGGGAUAACGCUAGGAAACUGGUGCUAAUACUGGAUAUGUGCUCCUGCUGCAUGGGGGGGGUUGGAAAGCUCCUGCGGUUGUGGAUGGACUCGCGGCCUAUCAGCUUGUUGGUGGGGUAGUGGCCUACCAGGGCGGCGACGGGUAGCCGGCCUGAGAGGGUGACCGGCCACAGUGGGACUGAGAUACGGCCCAGACUCCUACGGGAGGCAGCAGUGGGGAAUAUUGCACAAUGGGCGCAAGCCUGAUGCAGCAACGCCGCGUGCGGGAUGACGGCCUUCGGGUUGUAAACCGCUUUCAGCAGGGACGAAGCUUUUUGUGACGGUACCUGCAGAAGAAGCACCGGCUAACUACGUG